AAUAAUAGGGACAACACAUCUGAAGAAUAAAACAUUCACAUUUGUGAAGGAAGCAUUAGAAAGACAGUGCUUCUUGGAUUUUCCCACAGGAACAACCUAAUUACAUCUCUUAUUUAAUUUUCUGUAAUUCUAAAUGUAAAUUGGAGGGAGCUAGUAGAUUUUACAUCAGUGUCCUUGUUUCAGUGAUAUAAUGAUAAACCAUGCUGAAAUAAUGGGGGGUUCCACUUCAUUACACCACUGUUUGUCAUUUUUAAUGUUCUGCAGAAAACGUAUGGGACACAUGGCAUUUAAAAGAAGAAUUCACUGCAUUCUUAUCUGACUUCCGAAGACCCUUUGAAGCAUCUGUGUAGUGGCCUUAAGUAGAGAUAGAAUGCCUGCAUACAAACACAUGCACAUGUAUGCCCAAGGUCUGGGAAGGGCAAGGAAGAUGGAUGGAAAGAAUCUUAAGCAGGCUGAUGCCUAGCAUGGAGCCGGAAAUGGGGCUCUGUCUUAUGACCCUGAGAUCAUGACCUGAGCUGAAAUCAAGUCAGAUGCUUAACUGGACGCUUAAUUGACUGAGCCACCCAGGUGCCCCAACACUCAUUUGGAGAUUAUCUUUUAUUACCCAUCUUUAGGUGGUGUUGCUCUUACACUGAGACCCAGAGAGAAUGUAUGUGGAGCAGAGUCAACCCUGCCAACCUCAGAUCUUCAUGAGGAAGCAGAGCCUCCUCAGCUGCCAAAGCCUGAAGAAGAGCUGCCCUGGCUGACCAACCUACAUAUUAAUAAGAAUGAAAGCACAUUGUGUUUUCUUAAAGAAAAUCCUAAAGAUGUGGAACAAUUUUUCUUCAAAUUUCCUGUCAUUAUAUGAGGUGAGCUCACCUAGAAUUUCAACCUUUUAACUGGGUCUAAGAAAAACGAAACGUAAAGAUAGUUUGGGUAGCAAAAGGCUAAUUACAUUCUAUAGUGAUUGUCCUAAAUAUAGCAACACCUUCCAAAUUUCCAAGUUUUCAUGUUAAAAUGCAUGAAAUUAUAUUUUUUAACAAGAAUUACUUUGUGGCUAUAAAAUUUAAAUUUUUAUAGAAGCAUUCAGCUUAUGAUAUAUUUUAAUAAGCUCUAUAUUAGGAUCAAUGAGUCAUUGCUUAGGAAUGAGAGUAGCAUAUAAUGAAUCAAAUUUCCUUUUAAUAAAGUAAGAGCUUAGUAGAGCUCUUAAUAAGAG
rnacentral:lncRNA from 12 species